rnacentral:tRNA from 1 species
GUCUCGGUAGCUUAUCUAAUAAAGCAUUAGUUUUGUAAACUGAACAAGGAGAAUCAACCACUCCCCAAGACA